rnacentral:rRNA from 1 species
UAAGGAAUAUUGCUCAAUGGGAGAAAUCCUGAAGCAGCAACGCCGCGUGGAGGAUGAAGGGUCUAUGACUUGUAAACUCCUGUAAAGAAGGAAAAAAUUCCCAUUUGAUGGGAGAUGAUGGUACUUCUGGAGUAAGCCCCGGCUAACUACGUGCCAGCAGCCGCGGUAAUACGUAGGGGGCAAGCGUUGUCCGGAUUUACUGGGUGUAAAGGGUGCUCAGGCGGAUUUGUAAGUCAGAGGUGAAAUCUUACAGCUUAACUGUGAAACUGCCUUUGAUACUGCAAGCCUAGAGUAUGGAAGAGAGUGAUGGAAUAGCUGGUGUAGCAGUGAAAUGCGUAGAUAUCAGAUAGAACACCAAUGGCGAAGGCAGUCACUUGGUCCAUUACUGACGCUAAAGCACGAAUGCGUGGGUAGCAAACA